UGACCUCGGAUCAGGUAGGAAUACCCGCUGAACUUAAGCAUAUCAUAGCCGGGAGGAAAAAGGAUCAUUACCGAGUUUAAACUCCCAAAUCCUGUGAAACAUAACAAUUGUUGCCUCGGCGACCGCCGCUGGGUAAAAGGGGGAGUGCCCCAAGGCACCAAACUCUGUUUCUAGUAUGUAACGUUCUGUAGUUAAAACAUGAAUUGAAUUCAUAACUAUUCACCACGGUACUCUCGGGUUCUGGCAUCAAUAAAAAAGCAGCACAAAUGCGAUGAGGUAAUGAUGAAAUUGCAGAAAAUCAUUGAAAUCAUCGCAGCUGUGAAAGCACAUUGCGGCCGCGGUAUUCUGGCGGGCAUGCUGUUUCUAAGCUCUGUUCACUCCAGCAGAGGGGGUGUUGGGCACCCGUCCGAUCAAUACUGAUCCACAAUGAGUGGGCGGGACCCUCGUUCUCCUUACGGAAUACUAGCACUCUGCUAGGGGAAGUGC
rnacentral:rRNA from 1 species